rnacentral:rRNA from 1 species
AGCGAACGCUGGCGGCAGGCCUAACACAUGCAAGUCGAACGAACUCUUCGGAGUUAGUGGCGGACGGGUGAGUAACACGUGGGAACGUGCCUUUUGGUUCGGAAUAACUCAGGGAAACUUGUGCUAAUACCGAAUGUGCCCUUCGGGGGAAAGAUUUAUCGCCAUUAGAGCGGCCCGCGUCUGAUUAGCUAGUUGGUGAGGUGACGGCUCACCAAGGCGACGAUCAGUAGCUGGUCUGAGAGGAUGACCAGCCACACUGGGACUGAGACACGGCCCAGACUCCUACGGGAGGCAGCAGUGGGGAAUCUUGCGCAAUGGGCGAAAGCCUGACGCAGCCAUGCCGCGUGAAUGAUGAAGGUCUUAGGAUUGUAAAAUUCUUUCACCGGGGACGAUAAUGACGGUACCCGGAGAAGAAGCCCCGGCUAACUUCGUG